CGAGUAUAUCAAUGGCAAUGAAAUAUGAGAGUUGGAUCCAUAAUGGAUGAACAUGCAAUGCAACGAAUCGGUAGAGGAAAAGAACCGAGUCGACAAUGCAUCUGCUGAUGCGACUGAAGUUAUGCAUCUUGAUAUGGAAGAAAUCAUGGUCAAAUCGACAGGGAUAUAUAAGGGGUAUAUGCUAAAGUUCUUUGGCUGCAUUUGGCCAUGAUUCAAUUUAGCUCAGAGCAGCCGUCCGGUGAUGGAUUGGCAUCAAAGCACAUGCAUGCCCAUCAAUGGCUUCAGUUUCAUCAUACGACUUCAGGUUCAGGGCGGCGAUGGCACGAGAAAUACCUUCUAAUUAUUAUCUUCUGAUGUCUUGAGAAUGUAGACAUAUCUAGGUUGGACACUUGUGGCAUUCCAUGAAACUGCGAGGCAAUAUUUGACUC